rnacentral:tRNA from 1 species
GGGGCUGUAGCUCAGUUGGGAGAGUACGUGACUGGCAGUCACGGGGUCGCCGGUUCGAGCCCGGUCAGCUCCACUA